rnacentral:rRNA from 1 species
ACUCAAAUGAAUUGACGGGGGCCCGCACAAGCGGUGGAGCAUGUGGAUUAAUACGUCACUAACCGUAGAACCUUACCCAGGCUUGACAUCUGCGGAAGGCGGCUGAAAGGCUGCUGUGCCCCGCAAGGGGAGCCGCAAGACAGGUGUUGCAUGGCUGUCGUCAGCUCGUGUCGUGAGAUGUUGGGUUAAGUCCCGCAACGAGCGCAACCCUCACCGCCUGUUGCCAGCAUUCAGUUGGGCACUCUGGCGGAACUGCCCGGGUAACCGGGAGGAAGGUGAGGAUGACGUCAAGUCAGCAUGGCCCUUACGCCUGGGGCUUCACACAUGCUACAAUGGCCGGUACAAAGGGUCCCGAGACCGCGAGGUGGAGGCAAUCCCAAAAAGCCGGUCCCAGUGCGGAUCGCAGGCUGCAACUCGCCUGCGUGAAGUCGGAAUCGCUAGUAACCGCCGGUCAGCUAAACGGCGGUGAAUACGUUCCCGGGCCUUGUACACACCGCCCGU